rnacentral:misc_RNA from 1 species
GAUGAAGAACGUAGCGAAAUGCGAUACUUGGUGUGAAUUGCAGAAUCCCGUGAACCAUCGAGUCUUUGAACGCAAGUUGCGCCCGAAGCCAUUAGGCCGAGGGCACGCCUGCCUGGGCGUCACACGUCGUUGCCCCCCCAUCUACUCCUUCGGGAUUGCGAGGGGCUGAUGAUGGCCUCCCGUGCGCCUCGUCGCGCGGUUGGCAUAAAUGCCAAGUCCUCGGCGACGCACGCCACGACAAUCGGUGGUUGCGAAACCUCGGUUGCCCGUCGUGUGCGGUCGUCGCGCAUCGAGGGCUCGAAAAAAUUGCCGGGCUCCGGCUCGGCUUUCAACGCGACCCCAGGUCAGGCGGGGUUACCCGCUGAAUUUAAGCAUAUCAAUAAGCGGAGGA